rnacentral:rRNA from 1 species
UAGGGAAUCUUCCGCAAUGGACGAAAGUCUGACGGAGUAACGCCGCGUGAGUGAAGAAGGAUUUCGGUUCGUAAAACUCUGUUGUUAGGGAAGAAAAAAUGUAUAGUAACUAUAUACAAAAGAGACGGUACCUAACCAGAAAGCCACGGCUAACUACGUGCCAGCAGCCGCGGUAAUACGUAGGUGGCAAGCGUUGUCCGGAAUUAUUGGGCGUAAAGCGCGCGCAGGUGGUUUAGAAAGUCUGAUGUGAAAGCCCACGGCUCAACCGUGGAGGGUCAUUGGAAACUAAUAAACUUGAGUGCAGGAGAGAAAAGUGGAAUUCCUAGUGUAGCGGUGAAAUGCGUAGAGAUUAGGAGGAACACCGGUGGCGAAAGCGGCUUUUUGGCCUGCAACUGACACUGAGGCGCGAAAGCGUGGGGAGCAAACAGG